ACUUAGUGGCAGACGGGUGAGUAACAUGUGGGUAUCUACCCUUUGGCCUGGAAUAACACGAGGAAACUUGUGUUAAUACCGGAUAAGUCUUUACGGAGAAAGCUUUAUGCACCAUUGGAUGAGCCCGCACUUGAUUAGUUUGUUGGUAGGGUAAUGGCCUACCAAGACUAUGAUCAAUAGCUGAUUUGAGAGGAUGAUCAGCCACAUUGGGGCUGAGACACGGCCCAAACUCCUACGGGAGGCAGCAGUGGGGAAUCUUGCACAAUGGAGGAAACUCUGAUGCAGCGAUGCCGCGUGAGUGAAGAAGGCCUUUGGGUUGUAAAGCUCUUUCGUCGGGGAAGAAAAUGACUGUACCCGAAUAAGAAGGUCCGGCUAACUUCGUGCCAGCAGCCGCGGUAAUACGAAGGGACCUAGCGUAGUUCGGAAUUACUGGGCUUAAAGAGUUCGUAGGUGGUUGAAAAAGUUGGUGGUGAAAUCCCAGAGCUUAACUCUGGAACUGCCAUCAAAACUUUUCAGCUAGAGUAUGAUAGAGGAAAGCAGAAUUUCUAGUGU
rnacentral:rRNA from 1 species